GUGGGUGACCUGCCCCAUACCGGGGGAUAACAGCUGGAAACGGCUGCUAAUACCGCAUAAGCGCACAGAGCUGCAUGGCUCGGUGUGAAAAACUCCGGUGGUAUGGGAUGGGCCCGCGUCUGAUUAGGCAGUUGGCGGGGUAACGGCCCACCAAACCGACGAUCAGUAGCCGGCCUGAGAGGGCGACCGGCCACAUUGGGACUGAGACACGGCCCAAACUCCUACGGGAGGCAGCAGUGGGGAAUAUUGCACAAUGGGGGAAACCCUGAUGCAGCGACGCCGCGUGAGCGAAGAAGUAUUUCGGUAUGUAAAGCUCUAUCAGCAGGGAAGAUAAUGACGGUACCUGACUAAGAAGCCCCGGCUAACUACGUGCCAGCAGCCGCGGUAAUACGUAGGGGGCAAGCGUUAUCCGGAUUUACUGGGUGUAAAGGGAGCGUAGACGGCAAGGCAAGUCUGAUGUGAAAACCCAGGGCUUAACCCUGGGACUGCAUUGGAAACUGUCUGGCUCGAGUGCCGGAGAGGUAAGCGGAAUUCCUAGUGUAGCGGUGAAAUGCGUAGAUAUUAGGAAGAACACCAGUGGCGAAGGCGGCUUACUGGACGGUAACUGACGUUGAGGCUCGAAAGCGUGGGGAGCAAACAGGAU
rnacentral:rRNA from 1 species